rnacentral:rRNA from 1 species
UUCCCGGGCCUUGUACACACCGCCCGUCACACCACGAAAGUUGGCAAUACCCGAAGCCGGUGUCCUAACCCGCAGGGAGGGAGCCGUCGAAGGUAGGGUCAGUGAUUGGGGUG